GUCUUUUUUUGGCAACGCAUCUACCAAAAUUGGAAUGGUACAGAAUAGAUCAACAUGGCCUUUGUACAAGGUUAACUUUCAAAUUCAAAAAAGCAUGCAUUUUUUU
ensembl:snRNA U6 U6 spliceosomal RNA